GAUGAAGAACGCAGCGAAAUGCGAUAAGUAAUGUGAAUUGCAGAAUUCAGUGAAUCAUCGAAUCUUUGAACGCACAUUGCGCCCCCUGGUAUUCCGGGGGGCAUGUCUGUUCGAGCGUCAUUUCAACCCUCAAGCUCUGCUUGGUAUUGGGCGUCGCCGGGGAGUCUCCCCGGCGUGCCUCAAAGCCAUCGGCGGUGGUGCCUUUCUCUAAGCGUGGUAGAAUUUUUAUUCGCUUCUGAGUUGGGCUUCGCCUGCCGGACAAACCGGGCCCUCGCGGCCCACCUUCUCAGGUUGACCUCGGAUCAGGUAGGGAUACCCGCUGAACUUAAGCAUAUCAAUAAGCGGAGGA
rnacentral:misc_RNA from 1 species